UUAGGUUGGUGCAAAAGUAAUUGCAGUUUUUGCCAUUAAAAGUAAUGGGAAAACUGCAAUUACUUUUGGACCAACCUAAUAUU
ensembl:miRNA